CACCGCUUGCGCUCUGCGCAGUGUUGGACGCAGCCUGUCUAGGCUCGCCUCAAAUCUAGUGGCAGCACCUCAGAGCUCCUACGCGCAGUGAUGACCGCCGCCGGCGGCGCCCUGCAGGUGCUAGCUAGUCCAACCCCCAACCUGUUA
rnacentral:misc_RNA from 1 species